rnacentral:rRNA from 1 species
GAGAAUCCCGNACGUGACCGGCGGNCAACCCCNUGUGAGGNUCCUUCNACNAGUCNAGUUGNUUGGGAAUGCANNUCUAAAUGGGUGGNAAAUUUCAUCUAAAGCUAAAUACCGGCCNGAGACCGAUAGCGCACAAGUAGAGUGAUCGAAAGAUGAAAAGCACUUUGAAAAGAGAGUUAAAAAGUACGUGAAAUUGUUGAAAGGGAAGCGCUUGCAACCAGACUUGCCCGCANGCGAUCUUCCGUUUUUCGGAGCCACCGCACGUGGAGCAGGCCAGUAUCGGUUUUGGCAGUCGGACAAAGUUNCUGGGAANGUAGCUCCUCUCGGGGAGUGUUAUAGCCCGGGGUGCAAUGCGAUUAGUUGGGACCGAGGACCGCGCUUCGGCUANGAUACUGGCGUAAUGGUUGUAANCGACCCGUCUUGAAACACGGACCAAGGAGUCUAACAUCUAUGCGAGUGUUUGGGUGUCNNACCCAUACGCGUAAUGNAAGUGAACGGAGGUGGGAACCUUAGGGNGCACCAUCGACCGAUCCUGAUGUCUUCNGAUGGAUUUGAGUACGAGCAUAGCUGUUGGGACCCGAANGAUGGUGAACUAUGCCUGAAUAUGNUGAAGCCAGAGGAAACUCUGGUGGAGGCUCGCACCGGUUCUGACGUGCA